CCUACGGGUGGCUGCAGUGGGGAAUAUUGCGCAAUGGGCGAAAGCCUGACGCAGCGACGCCGCGUGAGGGAUGAAGGUCCUCGGAUUGUAAACCUCUGUCAGCAGGGAAGUACGGUCACUGUGCUAAUCAGCAGUGAAUUUACGGUAUCUGUAAAGGAAGCACCGGCUAACUCCGUGCCAGCAGCCGCGGUAAUACGGAGGGUGCGUGCGUGAAUUGGAUUUACUUGGAGUAAAGCGCUCGUAGGCGGUAUGUCAAGUCAAGGGUGAAAUCCCCGCGCUCAACGUGGGAACUGCCUUUGAAACUGGCAGACUGGAGUGUGUGAGAGGAUAGUGGAAUUCGAGGUGUAGGAGUGAAAUCCGUAGAUAUCUGGAAGAACUUCGGUUGCGAAGGCAGCUAUCUGGCACAUAACUGACGCUGAGGAGCGAAAGCGUGGGUAGCAAACAGGAUUAGAUACCCUAGUAGUC
rnacentral:rRNA from 1 species